rnacentral:rRNA from 1 species
CGAUGAUUAUCUAGCUUGCUAGAUAUGAUUAGUGGCGGACGGGUGAGUAACAUUUAGGAAUCUGCCUAGUAGUGGGGGAUAGCUCGGGGAAACUCGAAUUAAUACCGCAUACGACCUACGGGUGAAAGGGGGCGCAAGCUCUUGCUAUUAGAUGAGCCUAAAUCAGAUUAGCUAGUUGGUGGGGUAAAGGCCCACCAAGGCGACGAUCUGUAACUGGUCUGAGAGGAUGAUCAGUCACACCGGAACUGAGACACGGUCCGGACUCCUACGGGAGGCAGCAGUGGGGAAUAUUGGACAAUGGGGGCAACCCUGAUCCAGCCAUGCCGCGUGUGUGAAGAAGGCCUUUUGGUUGUAAAGCACUUUAAGCAGGGAGGAGAGGCUAAUGGUUAAUACCCAUUAGAUUAGACGUUACCUGCAGAAUAAGCACCGGCUAACUCUGUGCCAGCAGCCGCGGUAAUACAGAGGGUGCGAGCGUUAAUCGGAAUUACUGGGCGUAAAGCGAGUGUAGGUGGCUCAUUAAGUCACAUGUGAAAUCCCCGGGCUUAACCUGGGAACUGCAUGUGAUACUGGUGGUGCUAGAAUAUGUGAGAGGGAAGUAGAAUUCCAGGUGUAGCGGUGAAAUGCGUAGAGAUCUGGAGGAAUACCGAUGGCGAAGGCAGCUUCCUGGCAUAAUAUUGACACUGAGAUUCGAAAGCGUGGGUAGCAAACAGGAUUAGAUACCCUGGUAGUCCACGCCGUAAACGAUGUCUACUAGCCGUUGGGGUCCUUGAGACUUUAGUGGCGCAGUUAACGCGAUAAGUAGACCGCCUGGGGAGUACGGCCGCAAGGUUAAAACUCAAAUGAAUUGACGGGGGCCCGCACAAGCGGUGGAGCAUGUGGUUUAAUUCGAUGCAACGCGAAGAACCUUACCUGGUCUUGACAUAGUGAGAAUCCUGCAGAGAUGCGGGAGUGCCUUCGGGAAUUCACAUACAGGUGCUGCAUGGCUGUCGUCAGCUCGUGUCGUGAGAUGUUGGGUUAAGUCCCGCAACGAGCGCAACCCUUUUCCUUAUUUGCCAGCGGGUUAAGCCGGGAACUUUAAGGAUACUGCCAGUGACAAACUGGAGGAAGGCGGGGACGACGUCAAGUCAUCAUGGCCCUUACGACCAGGGCUACACACGUGCUACAAUGGUAGGUACAGAGGGUUGCUACACAGCGAUGUGAUGCUAAUCUCAAAAAGCCUAUCGUAGUCCGGAUUGGAGUCUGCAACUCGACUCCAUGAAGUCGGAAUCGCUAGUAAUCGCAGAUCAGAAUGCUGCGGUGAAUACGUUCCCGGGCCUUGUACACACCGCCCGUCACACCAUGGGAGUCUAUUGCACCAGAAGUAGGUAGCCUAACGCAAGA